AUGGAUUGGAAGGCACGACUGGUGAGCUCCAUCGAGGCGGCCGUGGAGGCGGCUGUGGAGACGGCCGUCAAUCGCGCGGUACAGACGGCUGUCAAGGAGACGCGUGCCUACACCGAUGGCUCGAGGCAACGCAUCGGCGAGAAGAUCAAAGAGAGACGCCAUGCUCGAGCGGUGGGCAUCCACAACGUCGUCGCCACCGCUUCCGACAUGCCUGCUGCGACCACCUCCGAGGCCUCCUUCAACUGCGGCGCCACUCUACAGCUCGGCAAAGAGCCGGGCGUGGCCGCGUCCAACAGCAUGGACCUUGCGGCCACGUUGCCCAGAAGGUGUUCGACACAGUGCCCAAGCUACGCCGUCACCGUGCCGGUGUCAACGGCCGCUUCCGCCGUAACAACAGCUCCGUCCAACCUCACCGCCAGCGUCGACCCCGAGCACUACUGCUUCGGCCUCGAGCUAACGACCACGACCUCGACUCCGACCUCUACACUGGAUGUCUCGGGCGCAUGCUCAACAGCGGCGAACUCCCUCACUCACGGCGCCAUCUCCACCACCAUAAUUCCAGCGCCAGAGGCAACGGCGGUGAUGGCCAUGGACAUCUCCAUGCCGACCCCCGCGUCCGCAUCAGGCGACAUCAACUUCCCUGCAUCACCAACUUCGGGUACUUAUGAUGUCUGCAUCGUGCUCCCAGCCUCUAAAGUCCUGGGCGUCGACCCGAUCACCAGCGGAGAAGACCCCGUGGACAUGUUCCGGGCUUCGGGGAGUGCAGCCUUGAUCUUGUCUCAGGAGGACUCGCCAGCUCUGUUGUAUGAGCCACUGACAGUUUUUGAGCGAGACAUGUUACCGCCCACCACCUGUUCGACUGAGUGCUCAAGAAGCAAUCUGGACGCACCAUCUCUUGCGUUCUCGACUACUCAUAUCACAGCAACAAGGUUGUUGCCAGCAGCAGCAUCGUUUCUCGAUUCGGAGCUCAUGGUGCAAGCUUGGAUGUCACCAACAGCCUGCUCCUCCGUCUCGGUGCGUGAGGACGACAUCAACAGCAACGACACAUACACCAUGGAGGUGCCCAUGACCAAGGAUGACAUGUUCCUGACCAAUCCAGUAGUGCCAGCAGUCUCACAUGUCCACCCCCUGAAAUUUCCUGAUGGUUGCUUGCAUGGAAACAAAACCCAAUUGCUCAUUGGCAGCUAUGUUGCUAGUACUGAUUCACCAUGGGACCCUGGACAACAAGCAUCCAUGUCCUUGUUGGGUGUUGGAGUGACAAAAAUUUCAUCGAACGACACUGUCAAGGACAACCAAAAACCCUUUUUCAGAUGGGAAAUUGCCUGGUUGUUCUACUUGGAAUAUCCUGAUAUUGGUAUUGACAAGGUCAAGCCACAAUUGUGUCCAGCAAGCAGAGAAAGUUUUGGAUUAAACCCACUGGAAUCAACACAAGCCAGUACUCAUGUAUUUUGCCCCAGCAGGAAGAAAGUUGUACAGUUGGUCAGACGACAGUUGUCGAUUCCUGAGUCUGAUGCUAGCAUAUUGUUACUCGAAGGACUACCUCUAUUUUCUAUUCACUUGACAGUGGGGUCAUCUGGUGCUGGAUCAGCCUGUUUAUGCAAUGGGAUUAUUACCAUCGCGUUCUGGACACACUUCAAACCGGGCAUGCUUACUCCAUUGCAUUACAAGGAUUUGAGCUUCUGGCGAUAUAUAAGUGUGGACCAGAUGAUGCAGAAAACUGGGCAUGUUAUUCAGUCUGGUCUGGAGCAUAUCCAAUGGAAGAUUGCAUGGUCGCUUAACUUGAAAAACUUAAAUGUUGUCAACCAGUCCGAGCAAACAAUUCUUGCCGCAACAUACCCUAAGUUGUAUUUUCCGUGGCACCCAGGCGAUGACCUGGUACAACAUAUCCUCUUGCUGGAGGUCAGCUGCCUAAACUGCAAAAGGCUCAUUGUUGAUGCUGCUACACAAUAUGAUUUUGAAUGUUUUGCUUGGGAAUUUACAUGGUCACUUCACUCAGUGUGUUGUGCUGGCAUGGCAAAUACUGUACCAUUUCAGUUCUCUGUUUCUAUUGCCAUGAGGAGCUUCCGGAGCCUCGAGUUUUGUCAAGGGAAGUUGUCAUGGGAUCCAGGCAUCGGGGCCCUUCUCUAUUUCUUCGGAUUUUAUGCUCAAACUGAAGUAACAGGAAGGAGGAAUCUUAUAGCUCCAGCUUUCUACUCAGACAGUGUCUGUGUCGACCACCCCUACUACCUCGACGCAUUUUCUGACCAAGUGAACAUCAGCGACGAGUAUUUCCUUGAGCAAGUCGGUGUUGUAUGCUCCCUCAAUCUCGCCAAGUUCCGCCUCAACUACGGCACCCACUACGACCUCGGCGAAGUCUUGAAGCAUCAAGCACCAUGGGAUCUAGGAGGUUCGACAUGGCAUCGGCUUGAGGUCAAGCCGAAUUUCAAGGAAGGGGGAAUGUUAGCGACCAACCGUACACUCUUCACGGGCUGGGCCAUUGGUUGCGCCUAUUGGGCCUGGGCUGAUGGGAAGCAACAGAAGGCAGCAACUACAUAUACAAGCGAACGGGCUACGAACGACUCGGCUUGGAUCAGGACGGCUUCGACCUCCUCUGCUUCUGUCUCUUCUUCCUCUCGUGUUCCUCUCCUCCACUGUACUAGCUAA
rnacentral:rRNA from 1 species